UCUAAAGUCCCAAAACCUUCAACAAGUCCUCGUCAAAUCCUAAAACCCCAAAAACCACCCCUUCAGCCAUGGCUUCCUUCGCCGCCAGGUCUGUCCUCCGCUCCACCGCGGCUCGAGCCACCGUCGGAUCGAGGCUCGCUUCCGCCGCCAGACCCAAACCAGCCUCCUCGCCAUUUCGCAUCCCCAAACUAAACCAAAGCUCCACCUCUCCUCGCAUUUUCAGGUCGCCUGUGGAGUUGAGCUGCUGUGUGGAGACGAUGCUUCCGUACCACACAGCCACAGCCUCUGCAUUGCUCACUUCGAUGCUCUCUGUCUCUCAGCGCUCCUACGGUUGGACCCCUGAAGAUUGCAAUGAUGAUGUAUGAUGAAUAUCAGAGGGUUCGAGCAAAGUUUUAUGUACUUGCGCCCUAAGACAAGAUGGAUGAUUAUUAUCUGUUGGGAUGCGGUGCAUUGAUCGUAGUUUUCAUUGGAUUUCAAUCGACUUUUUAGGACUUUGCUUGAGGCAUGCUUCAUCAUAGUUGGCUGUGAUAAUUCACAGAAAUGUUUUUGGUUCUACAAUCAUUUUGAGGAAGUAGAUGUCAUGAUGAUUUAUAUUGUUUUUAUAUAAUUUUCCAAUUUCUAAAUCCUGUUCAUGAUGAGGUUGAGGUUGAACUUAUUGAUCCAAGCUAUGGAUCAUCUUCCCUUCUCCUCAAUUCUCAUGAUUCUGAUCCUACUAAGUAAAUAUAUCUUUUACUUAA